ensembl:lncRNA
UGUGUUUAAUAUUAUUCUAUUGCUGUUGUUGUUUUUUUUAUAUCCUUCAAUUGGCGUCACGAACAGGAUCCGCUCCAGGCCAACUGGAACGGAUGGGAGGACUUCGGCCGUGGUCUGAGUGAACGGAGUUUGGACAAAAGCUGUGUGCACACAAAAAACAAGUAUUCCUCACAGGUCGCUGAAAGAAACCAGCAAGAGCUGAAAGAGGCGGCUACACCUGGAAUGGACUACGUCCUCCUGAAAGUCACAAAGAGAAAGUGGGCUGAGCCUCGCUGGACAGGCCCUUACCGCAUAACAGAGCGGACCUCCCACGCUGUCAGGCUCGAAGGGAAAGGUGACACCUGGUUUCA